ensembl:snRNA U6 U6 spliceosomal RNA
GUGCUUGUUUUGGCAGCACAUGUACUGAAAUCGGAAUAGUGCAGGGAAGAUUAGCACGGCCUUUGCACGAGGAUGACAAGCAAAUCCGUGGAGUGUUCCAUAAAAAA